rnacentral:rRNA from 1 species
UACGGAGGGUGCAAGCGUUGUCCGGAAUCACUGGGCUUAAAGGGCGCGUAGGCGGCUUGGCAAGUGGAAGGUGAAAUCCCUCGGCUUAACCGAGGAACUGCCCUCCAAACUGCUUAGCUUGAGACCGGGAGAGGUGAGUGGAAUUCCCAGUGUAGCGGUGAAAUGCGUAGAUAUUGGGAGGAACACCAGUGGCGAAGGCGGCUCACUGGACCGGUACUGACGCUGAUGCGCGAAAGCGUGGGGAGCAAACGGG